UACGUAGGGUGCGAGCGUUAAUCGGAAUUACUGGGCGUAAAGCGUGCGCAGGCGGCGCGUUAAGACAGGUGUGAAAGCCCCGAGCUUAACUUGGGAAUUGCGCUUGUGACUGGCGUGCUGGAGUGUGGCAGAGGGAGGUGGAAUUCCACGUGUAGCAGUGAAAUGCGUAGAGAUGCGGAGGAACACCGAUGGCGAAGGCAGCCCCCUGGGCUGACACUGACGCUGAGGUGCGAAAGCGUGGGGAGCAAACAGG
rnacentral:rRNA from 1 species